UACGGGGGGGCAAGCGUUGUUCGGAAUUACUGGGCGUAAAGGGCCAGUAGGCGGCCAACUAAGUCGGAUGUGAAAUCCCCAGGCCUAACCUGGGAACUGCAUCCGAUACUGGAUGGCUUGAAUUCGGGAGAGGGAUGCAGAAUUCCAGGUGUGAGCGGUGAAAUGCGUAGAUAUCGUGGAGGAAUACCGGUGGCGAAGGCGGCAUCCUGGACCGACAUUGACGCGUGAACGGCGAAAGCUAGGGGAGCAAACGGG
rnacentral:rRNA from 1 species